UACGAAGGGUGCAAACGUUGCUCGGAAUCAUUGGGCGUAAAGCGCACGUAGGCGGCCUCGCAAGUCUGAUGUGAAAUCCCUCGGCUCAACCGAGGACGUGCAUCGGAAACUGCGGGGCUUGAGUACUGAAGAGGAUCGCGGAAUUCCCGGUGUAGAGGUGAAAUUCGUAGAUAUCGGGAGGAACACCAGUGGCAAAGGCGGCGAUCUGGGCAGAUACUGACGCUGAGGAGCGAAAGCGUGGGGAGCAAACAGG
rnacentral:rRNA from 1 species